rnacentral:lncRNA from 7 species
AUGUGCAUUGUGCAUCUUAUGAGGUACGAUAAUUAAUCAAGUAAGACGAAGGAAAAGAGUCAAGUCGAUACCAAGCGCGGGCUAAUCCGCAGGAUGAUGCUGAUGAACGAACCGGAAGAUGGAUAAUCUGAACGAGUGCCAAGCCAAUGGAUGCUCGUCAAGUGGUCGCCUAACAAACACUAACCUAGUGUUACCCCAGUUUUGAUGCGGACAUCAACACCAACACGAGCACAUCUACACCAGCAGCACCUUCUCCAGCCCAGGCGCCACCCCUUCCACCUGGGCCAGUGACUCGGGCCCGUGCAAGAGAAUUGAACUACAUCAUGUUGUUAAAGAACGAAGGCCCGGAAGAAUAGACGACCAGCCCAAUUGCGGCCCAUAAUGGACGACCUAGGGUUGGCCGCCCCUAGGGGCUGCGCCCCCUCUCUAUUUAUUCAGGAGCUGCGCCUCCUUUAUUUCCUGAGUUUUGUUUUACGUUAGCCUUAGCUACUCUCGAACACGCGCAAAUCUGCGCUGUCUUCGUGUAUUCAGAACUCCACCCUCGAGUAAUAGAUUAGAUUGCUCG